UUGAUCCUGGCUCAGAUUGAACGCUGGCGGCAGGCCUAACACAUGCAAGUCGAACGGCAGCACAGAAGAGCUUGCUCUUUGGGUGGCGAGUGGCGGACGGGUGAGUAAUGUCUGGGAAACUGCCCGAUGGAGGGGGAUAACUACUGGAAACGGUAGCUAAUACCGCAUAACGUCGCAAGACCAAAGUGGGGGACCUUCGGGCCUCACACCAUCGGAUGUGCCCAGAUGGGAUUAGCUAGUAGGUGGGGUAAUGGCUCACCUAGGCGACGAUCCCUAGCUGGUCUGAGAGGAUGACCAGCCACACUGGAACUGAGACACGGUCCAGACUCCUACGGGAGGCAGCAGUGGGGAAUAUUGCACAAUGGGCGCAAGCCUGAUGCAGCCAUGCCGCGUGUAUGAAGAAGGCCUUCGGGUUGUAAAGUACUUUCAGCGGGGAGGAAGGCGGUGAGGUUAAUAACCUUGCCGAUUGACGUUACCCGCAGAAGAAGCACCGGCUAACUCCGUGCCAGCAGCCGCGGUAAUACGGAGGGUGCAAGCGUUAAUCGGAAUUACUGGGCGUAAAGCGCACGCAGGCGGUCUGUUAAGUCAGAUGUGAAAUCCCCGGGCUUAACCUGGGAACUGCAUUUGAAACUGGCAGGCUUGAGUCUCGUAGAGGGGGGUAGAAUUCCAGGUGUAGCGGUGAAAUGCGUAGAGAUCUGGAGGAAUACCGGUGGCGAAGGCGGCCCCCUGGACGAAGACUGACGCUCAGGUGCGAAAGCGUGGGGAGCAAACAGGAUUAGAUACCCCUGGUAGUCCACGCCGUAAACGAUGUCGACUUGGAGGUUGUGCCCUUGAGGCGUGGCUUCCGGAGCUAACGCGUUAAGUCGACCGCCUGGGGAGUACGGCCGCAAGGUUAAAACUCAAAUGAAUUGACGGGGGCCCGCACAAGCGGUGGAGCAUGUGGUUUAAUUCGAUGCAACGCGAAGAACCUUACCUGGCCUUGACAUCCAGAGAACUUAGCAGAGAUGCUUUGGUGCCUUCGGGAACUCUGAGACAGGUGCUGCAUGGCUGUCGUCAGCUCGUGUUGUGAAAUGUUGGGUUAAGUCCCGCAACGAGCGCAACCCUUAUCCUUUGUUGCCAGCGAUUCGGUCGGGAACUCAAAGGAGACUGCCGGUGAUAAACCGGAGGAAGGUGGGGAUGACGUCAAGUCAUCAUGGCCCUUACGGCCAGGGCUACACACGUGCUACAAUGGCGCAUACAAAGAGAAGCGACCUCGCGAGAGCAAGCGGACCUCAUAAAGUGCGUCGUAGUCCGGAUUGGAGUCUGCAACUCGACUCCAUGAAGUCGGAAUCGCUAGUAAUCGUAGAUCAGAAUGCUACGGUGAAUACGUUCCCGGGCCUUGUACUCACCGCC
rnacentral:rRNA from 1 species